rnacentral:sRNA from 1 species
GGGGUCGGAGUGAAGCCAGAAUAUGGAUAUGCAGGCCUUGGGAUCCAGACAGGGCCCUAUGGGCAGCUGAGGCCAGAGCUGCGUCUGGAGCAUUUGGGGGAUCCUGAACUGAAGACAUAUACCAAGAGCCCAUUGGGAAAUGGUUACAGAGGACACUGCCCCUCUGGGGAAUGCUGAAUGGAAGCUUCCCUGCCUACCCUGAGGGUCUCUGCAUUACAGCCUGGCUGGAGAAGCACAGCAGGAGGAUCUUCUCAACACUUGCCUAGGCCACUGCCCUGUCCCUGUCUCCUCUGGGCUGAAGUAUUAAUAAAAGCUAUAUGGUUCCCCGUUUGCCUCUGUGUGCUGUGGAGGGAUGCCGACUUCAGGGAGGGUGGCACAGGGCACCUCCGUUCAUCAUCAUCCGCCCAUCAAGCGACAAUGGGCUCGGUGAUGAGGCCUCCAAACGGAAGACAACGAAACAGACAUAAAACCUGUCCCAAGGGAGGGGUGUCAUUUGGUCACAAUCUAAUGGAGAAAAAUAAUGCCAACUGAGGGGUCUUUCAACUGGGUAUGUACCUCAGUACUGCCCGGAAUGCUCGAGACCCUGGGUUUGUGCUCCAGCACUGAAAUGGGGUCACACUCUGAGGUCCAGUCCUGGAAGUGGAGGAUGUAGGGAGGUUUGGGUUUUGUUUUUGUUUUUCACCAUGCAAAAGAAUGCUUUAUAGCUUGUUUUAACUUGUAAUCCAUUUGCUAAGAUUGCUAAAGAGGCUGGGUGUGAUGGCCCCAUCCACCUGAACAGGGGAGGCAGGAAGACUGAAAAGCUGAGGCAUGGGAAUUCAGACUUCAAGGCUAAGCGCAGGCUACAUGGUGUGAUC